rfam:Acetivibrio ethanolgignens strain ACET-33324 ACET-33324.Scaf13, whole genome shotgun sequence.
GAGAACUGAUAUUCCGAUGGGUGAAAUGAGGGGGUAACGUCCCGAAGCGCCACCCUAAUACUCCGAAUGGCGGGGAGCAUGCAACGGCUCUCUCCAAAAGUUUAUAGAGCUCGGUGAAGUCGGCAGAGAGCAACCGUAAGACUGGUUUUCAGACCAGACACGAAAGCUGUCCAGAGGUGGAUGGUGUUGCCUAUAUGCCGGGGGUCGGAUAU